AAGACGUUAGUGGAGCGUGUGUGGUUUACCGGCACACUAAAUGGUUCUAAGCAAAGGUAGCAAAGGGUGACUCAAUGUUUGUCAUAGUUCGGUGGAGCGUGUGUGGUUUACCGGCACAUCGAAUAGGUGACUGUAACAUGUGGGGGCACCAUGUAAGUUUGCAUGGUUAUUCCCACCCGCUUUGUGAUCCUCGGCAUCCCAGUCACAAACUAGAGGGGCAUAUCGAUAUUUAAACAUGCCAUUGAAAAGUUCAAUGAAUCUCAUAGAAUCUAGGAUUUUUCAUACAUUUAAAACUUAAUCUGUUUUUCGUUUUUAUGGUGGAAAAUUAGUGAAUUUUCAUUCACUUACCUUCAAAUGUUCUGCAAUUUGGGUUACGGCAUCCCUCUCCCGAGUUGUAGAAUAUUGUGUUGGGUCCUAGCCUUAGUAUUUCAUUUGGGUGAUUUACUAAGGACUCAAUCAAUCAACUAACUUGAAUUCGUUUUCUCCCGUUUUGUAGAUGUCAAAGUUCGACAACUAUGGUCUUCCCAAAUCCCGUGGAACAAGCAUUCCACAUGAAGAUGAUAUUCCACGAUUCAAUCGAGGAACAAGAAAUCAUGCUUCACUUCCUCCACCUCCUCCAAUUAUUCUCCCUAACCCACAAGAUCGAAGAAUUGAAAGGUUCAAUGUCACUAAAGCCCUAUUGGAAAUGAAACAUGAAGAUGGUAAACCCAUGUGUGCCCACGUUCUAGGAAUGAAAUCACACAUCGAUAGGUUGAUAAUGUUGGGUGCGUCAUUCCCUGAUAAGUUGGCUGUGGACUAGAUUCUGCAGUCACUCCCUGAAUCAUAUAACGAGUUCAAAAAAAGUAUCAUAUGAUGGAUCAUGACGCAAGCCUCAUUGACUUAACUUACAUGCUCAUUGCUGCUGAAUCAGAAAUGAUUUGGCAAGGCAAUGGAGCAUAUUUGUUGGGAAAGUCAACCGACCAUGCUUCCGAGGACGUUCUAGGAGAACCAACAUGCGUUUGCUGCCAAGAGAAAGGGAGUUGGAUACAAGUGCGCCGUAAGAGCUUGAAGAAUCCAGAAGAUGGGAUAGUCAAAGAGUAUGGUUGUGCUUCAGGUAAAAUCCACUAUCUAACUCCAUUAAGUUCCUAUUCAUUGAUUCUUAAUACAUAAUGUGAUAAGAUUGCAUUUGAAUGUUUUGUAGGAUCAGUGAAAAGAGAGGAAGCCUAAUGGAAAAGCAAGAUGAGUCUGAUCACGAAGAGAUGGAUCUCGAUCACAUGGAUUCGAAGAUUAGAUUUUGAGCUUAGAAAGUUAUGAUAGAGUUGUUAGGAAUAUUUGAUUACAUAGUCUCUCAGUUGAUUUUGCAUUGUAAGGACAAAUGUUUUCCGCUGCUUUUAUGAAUAAAAUAAAUUUUGUUUGACGUAUUUAUUUAUUUCCUUGCAAUGAAUCGUUAUGAAAAAAUUGAUGUUUGCAUAUUUCUACAACGAAUGGAUGUGAUUCUUAAUUAUGUUAUUUGUGGAAAGGUCAAGAAUUUACCAAAUAUGGAAAGUUUCUCAUCGCCCAAGUUUCAAUUGGACAGAAACUUGGAAUCAUGCAACUUGGUUGCACGAUGAAUAAGAUAUUUCAUAUUUGGAAAUUAGACUAAUUCGCUGACAAAGAGUUAAGUGAAGGACUAGGAGAUCGAGUACACAAAGUUGUGUGUUGAUCAAGUCCACCACAAGAGUAACACAGAUAUUUGUCAUGAUUUACUAAAGGUUUAGUAAAUAUGAUUAUACUUAUAAGAGUAAGUGUAAUUCUGAAUUGAUUGAAAAAGUCUGAAUCAAUAGCAAAACGAAUAAGAAAAAUCAAGUAGGCAGAAAGAUAAAAGUUUCUCUAUUGUAAGAAGAAGGGAGAGUACCUUUUAUUAUGUUUUAUGAUAGGUCUUAAUGAUUAAGAACCAUAUCUCAAUUGAUCCUCUAAGUGAGUCUUAGUACAAUUGUAUGUCUGAGAAGAGGAAUCAAGAAUUGAAGAAAUGGUUAAAUCAAGAAGUCAAUCAUACUUCAUUCCAAAACAAGUCUUAGAGUUAAGACUGUGACAUUGAGUGACAAGUCUUAAGAAGGUUUAUAACAUUCAACAAAUUUAGAAUGUGGAAAAAGGUUUUCUUUUUCUCACACAUUUGAAAUUGGUAAGUUGUGAUGUCUUGGAUAAGACAAAGACCAACUAGGACCAAUUUUAUGAAGUGUUUUGUCUUGAUAAAAGCUGCACUAACUCUUGAAUAUUUGGUUGUCAAGAAAUGUUUAUUGACAAGAGAAUCUUAUAUGUCAAGGAGUCAGUGGGAGUCUUAAUGGUCUUGAAAGGUUUCAAGAACAAAUCAAAAUAAACCUUAUCGAUCAUCACUAGCACACGAGUUGAGGUUUACAACCUAUCGUGUUGACAUUAUUUUGUUUCUGUGCCAUUCCAAUUGAGUUAAUUAUGCAUGUGAGUUCUAUGAGUUCUCAUUUGAAUGCAUAAAAGGCAAGGACCUUGAUCAAUGAAAAGUACAUUGAUAGGAAAGGGUGAGCUGCUUAACUACUUGGAAGACAUGGUGGGCAGCCGUGUUACCAUAAGGCAAGAGAUCAAGAUUGAGAAGGUUCGGUCCAUAUGAGUUUGGAUUUGUCGCAAACUUUGGUUUUGACAAAUUCGCAUGGAUAGGAACACAUACACCAUUAAAAUCUAAGUGUCAUAAGAUUCCCUCCUUCAUGAAGAUGACUGUGAGGAAAUGCUUUCACUAAGAGAGAUUUUAAGAAGAUAGUGAUUGUGAAAAUUGUAUUCUCAAAUUCGAUUAUGGUUACGGUAUCCCUUUCCAUGAUUCGAAUUGUGAGAUUUGGCAAUUAGUCUGAAUUGUUUAGACACACAUAUGAGCUAUCUAAGGCAAAGGUGUAUAAGUUUAAGAAGCUUAGAUAAAGGAUUAUCAAAGCAUUAGGUAUUAGAAAUAUGAACUUAAGAAAUUCAAUAGGUAUUGUUUUCUGGAAGUUAAGUUGUUUUCUGAAUACAUGUCAAAGCUAGUGGGAGCAUAAGUGUUAUGCUUAUAUGAUAAUAAUCAUCAUGAUAGUGGGAGCAUAAAUGUUAUGCUUGUAUGAUUAUUAUGGCAAGUAUUGCAAGUUAGCAAUAUUAAUUAUAGAAAACAAGAGUUAUACUUUGCAAAGUCGUAAGGGUUGAAAAGUUGUUUUGCUAUAAUUAAGGGAGAGAAUAUUAUGCUUCAUUUCAAAUCUAAAGGCUUAGGUUGUGGAAUGUUAAUAAAUUUAGUCAAGGAUACAUAGUGUGUUCUCAAAUUUCGAUUAUGAUUAUGGCAUCCCUCUUCAUAGUUCGAAUUGUGAGAACGUGACACAUAAAAUAUUAUGGCAGAAGAUUGAUAAAGUAUCAUAUCUUUAUGUAAGACAUUAUGCAUCGUGUCCCAUACGCUUCGGGUAUAGGAUCGAUUGCAAAUGCUAUAAUAUUUGACCAUUCUAAAAUUUUCCAAAUGUCUAGCGCAUUAAGAGGGAAAAAGGACAAGAAUCGGUUUUGACUAAGAUAAUUAAACAACUAUCAAAGGACGAUCCAAAGUUCGCUGAGGAUUGGUCGCUUGUGAGUAGUUGGAAGUAUGGUAUUGGAUGGAUCAUAUCGACAUUAUUAUGAAUAGAUAAGAUUCUAUUAAGAAUGAGUUGUCAUAUGGCAAAUAUGGAAAUGUUUCCAUAUUGGGAGUUGGAUAUUGAGAAUCUAUGUCUAGAUUAGAAACUUUUAUGCAAGAAGGAUGUUCAAAGGAAUGUACUUUGAGUGAGAGACAUCAUAUCUAUAGAAUUGUUUCUGAUAGAGAUUGGCCAAGUCUUGAUGAUUUUGAGCUAUGACUUUACGAAAGGAUCAUUGCAUAAAAUGUUAGAAUCUAGCAUAUUCUAUAAGUGACAAGAAUUUGAUAUUCUUAUACUUAUGAUAAGGAUUGGGAGUUGUGAAAUGAGUAUGAUUGGAAAUGUGUUCAUUUGAUCUAUUUCACAAAGUAAGGACCAUAGGUAAACAUUGUGUGCAUGCUAAGAGCAUGGGACAAGUGUAGUAAUAAUUCAAGUAAGAAGUUGAUUACCCGAAACAACAAAUAAUGAGUAAUCGAUAUGGUGAUAAAUAAAAGGUGUUUUAUUUAUACUCAAAGGUUUGAGGCCAUAUGGGAUUAGUAUUAUUCUUGUGUUUCACUUUGCAUGUUUUGACUUCCUGAAUAAUUUAAUUGGUUCAGAACAGUCAAAUUAUUCAAACAGACCACAGUCGUUCAUAUGUUGGAAGUAGGUAUGAAUGAAGACUGUCGUGAAUUGGUGUGUGGAUUGUCUAAAGUGUAUUAGACAUAAGCAAAUGUUUGCUGCAACGUUCAUGAGUGCUUAUGAAUAUGAUUUGAGCAUUGGAUUAAACCCACGCUCACUUGGAUCACUUCAUGGAUUUUAUCACGAGUGAUUGGUGAGACGAUAAUAUCUUAUAUUCUUGAAACCGAGAUGUGUGAGUUGUAUCUUGCGAGUCGGUUACACAUUGAUAAUAUGUAAACGCACCAGUAACUUGGUGUUAUAAAACAUAUUGUUGUGUGUGAUUCGGUGAGUGAGUGCAAGCAAGCAUUGAAUCAAAGUUUAUCCGUUCCUUUUAUCCAAAGUAGGAUAAAAGCGAUAUAUGUGGGCCCCUCGAUGAUUUAGUGAUGGCACCUAAGCGCUUGGCCAAGCCGGGACUAAUUUGAUGUGUUCAAAUGUAGUCUGUUGUCAGUCAUCAUAAAUCUGAAGUCGGGAAAUAGUAUAGAGGGAAUGAUUAAGUUCAUGUCUCAUAUCUAUACGAUAUCUAGAAUGGAGGAAUGUAUGAUACCUUUUCUAAAGGACACGUGUAUCUGAUAAGAUCAGAGUUGACAGCGACUCUUUAUCACUGCUCUUCUGAGGCUUUCCAACCAACCUUGUUGACUCGGAGUAUUCAACCGCCCAUUCGCCUAGCCAUCAGAUUCCUCCACUGCCAUCUUCACUUUUGGCUCCUUGUCAUUUGAUCUGGGGGAAUCAACCUCGAAGAAGGGAGCCUAGGAGCGUAGUUUGGCCUGUGUUCAAAAUUCAAUGCUCAAAUUCCAGCUUCAAGCGUUCUGCAGCUCAUAAUCAUAUUAUGGAAAAGGAGGCGUGGGAAAACGGCACCAAUUCUGUCCAAUAACAUCAAAAACCUCAUUUUUUAGUCCUUCGGCCUUCGCAAACAAACAGUCCGGCCAACCCAAGUAAUCCCCCAUAACAUCAAUCAGUACCGCAAAAGGCUAAAAAUCUGACUAAGUCUCCAGCAGCUGCGGAGCGGGGGAUAAAGGAACAGCAGGAUUACAACAUUGCACAGGAUCAAUCAGAAUGCGGGAGCGCAGAGCCUUUAAGAGAUAGGGGGUGCGGGAGCAUAAUACUUAAUACUAAGGAUUCCCCGCGGUUUUUCAUGCAGAUUUGACCACGGUGUGCACCCCCCUUAACUUAACCCCUAUUACGUAAGGGGGACCUUCGGCGGGAUAAAAGAGAGUGCGGGAAAAGCAGCUACAGAUAUAGGACAAAAGAAGGAGUGGCGCACUUAAAGAGUAAAAAAAUCCAUCGUAGCGCAAAAGAGCAUCCCGCAGAAAGAGGAUCCCGCGGAAAGUUUCCACUUUUCUGUCCAGCUGCAAAAUGGAAUGGAAUAGUCUAAAAUGCUUAAUAGCUCCAACAAGCGCGAAAGCCAUUGCUUCUUGCUUUCGAGCCCAAGCCUAUGUUUUCUUAGUAAGGUUGCUUCUUUUUAUAUCUCCUCAAAAAAAUAAAGGCGAAAGGUCGCUUGCUUUACUUUGAGAAAGGAGUAGAAAGAAGGUAUUAUAUAAUAAAUAAAAGUAAAAGCGCUAACGCACUUUUUUUUCAAUAAGGGGCGGGAAGAAGCGAGCCUCUCAGAGAAAAAGUGCUAGUUGUAGCGUGCUAGCGCUUAAAGAGAAGGAAGCCGAAAAUAGCACGAUAGCAAAGAGCAAAGAAAGCUAAGCGUGCAGAGAGAGCAACAUAUAGCGCGAAAGAGUCCAAAUACAAGAAAAGCAGAGCGCGAAGCUUGUGGUCCGUUCCUUUCCCAACUAUAGUGGAACUUGCCCAAAGGAAAUCUUUUAUCUUCUUGCCGGGAAAGAGUUUGAUUACCAAGUUCGAUUACCAUAAGUGGAAGUUCAAACCUUAUAUCUCCGAUAUAUAGGAUAUAAUGUCAGAAAAAAAUAAAUUUUGGUAGAUAGUAUGGCUUGACAAUGUCGAGCUAAGACUAUCGCGAAGUAAACAUAGGGUCUGUCUCAGCCUUGACUAUGGAAUCUGAUUUCCUAGCGACUAUGUUCCCCUUUUUUCCUGCAGUCUUUCCAGCUAUGGAUCCUACAAUUCCCUAUGAAGCUCCCUGACAACCCCUUCAAUCCAUCUUCAUCUUGGCUGGCAGCCUAGAUUGAGCCCUGGGACUGAUCUUCCCGUUGGCUUUACUGCAGCAGUACUCACAGUGAAAGGUCAGCGGGGGGCAUAGCGAAAUUCCUCACCGAGAUGACUGGACAACCUAUCGACCAGAUCGCACCAGCGGAGCGAUUCAAAGCCUCUUUGGAGCGAAUUCCUUUGAAGUAGUUAGUGCUCUAAUUGAGUGAGCCGUGGAUCAUAAAUGAUGAGCGUAGCUUAAUUUAGCUGAUCUCACACCGAACUAUAAAUAAAUAAGUGAGUGGCUCUUUAUAGCCCAAUGGCUACCACCGGAAGUGCGCUAAGUUAGUCACAGGGGAACCCCAAGUUCUUUCUCCGACUCUAUAAAAUAAACUUGGAUGGCUUGCUUGCUUGUUUAGCUUGCCCCCUCUUUGAAUGUGUACAAUUCGAGCAAGCAAAUGGCUAGCAGGGCCGAGGAACCACAAUGAACGGGACGACAGAAGUUCCACAAGAAUAUGACCAGAGAGAUAUGUUCUUCUUCGUGCAUGCAGGUCUGGUUCCUGAGAAAACAGAUAUCUAUUAGCGAGUUUCGCCGUACAAUAUAUAACCCGGGACUGGCUGAAAUGAAUGAAUUCUCAUGGUUUCCGCCGGCUAAUAGGGCGAGCAGCGUAAUGGGGGCGGACGACGUGAGUGAGAGCCCAGACCAUAGCGGCUUUAGAGACUUCUCUCUCGGCGACGAAAACGUUCUCCGGGAGGCUUUCCUUUCUGCUUUACUGUGAUUUACCCAUAACCAUCAGCGGCAAGGAUUAUGGAAGAGGCCAAACCAACCCAGGUACACCACAAGUAGAUACGGUUGGAGUAGCAGAUCCUAUAGAAACAAAGACAAAGCCCGAGGCAGAUCCAGACGCGUACCUAGGUGGCGCAGCAUCCCUUCGAGUUGCUUGCCACCCCUUUUAUCCUUUCUCCCUCCUCCGGUCGCCUCGUUACCUUUUUUGCUUUCUCACAUUGACUUCUUUCCGCUUUUUCACUUCUUUUCCUUUGAUUCAGCUGUAUUAGUAGCUGAUGAUUCCUUUUUUCCAAGUGUGUCCGAUUGGUAUCACUCGCAUAAGACUUUUCCUUUAUUUGUAGCGGCCAUGUGGCAUAGUCCAUCUUUUCCUUCUAUUUUUCCCUCAAAAUAGAAUAUAUACUUGCCUUUGUACUGAUUUGAAUAUANGCACACUAAAUGGUUCUAAGCAAAGGUAGCAAAGGGUGACUCAAUGUUUGUCAUAGUUCGGUGGAGCGUGUGUGGUUUAUCGGCACAUCGAAUAGGUGAUCGUAACAUGUGAGGGCACCAUGUAAGUUUGCAUGGUUAUUCACACCCGCUUUGUGAUCCUCGGCAUCCCAGUCACAAACUAGAGGGGCAUAUCGAUAUUUAAACAUGCCAUUGAAAAGUUCAAUGAAUCUCAUAGAAUCUAGGAGUUUUCAUACAUUUAAAACUUAAUAUGUUUUUUGUUUUUAUGGUGGAAAAUUAGUG
rnacentral:lncRNA from 1 species